rnacentral:lncRNA from 1 species
AUAAGCUUGGCUCCAGGGAGCUCAUUAUUUUUGCAAAGUUGAACACCGUCAGCAGAAGCCCCAGAGAACCACUCACCUCUGGGGUGAGUGCAUGGGGGUGCAAGCCCAGACCUGGGAGGUGGCCAAGAUGUCAGCUUAAGAUGGCUGUCACUCAUCACCAUGCUGUGCUCUCAGUUGACUUAAAGCUUUCCGGUGACUGGAGUAAAUUUUAAAAAAGGUUUCAGCAACAAAACAAAGAAGCCAAAGAGGCUUAUUUUAUUUCUAACUAAGCCAAAACAUUUGGUGAUUUUCUUUCUUUCUUUCUUUCUUUCUUUCUUUCUUUCUUUCUUUCUUUGUUUCUUUGUUUCUCUUUGGCUGCACCAGUAACUUCCAUAGUAUUAAAGGCAGUGAACUACGUCACCCAUGGUAGAAAGUCAUCCCCCCUCUCCUUUUUGGUUACCAGGGUUCAGGGAGGACACUGAAGACUCUGACCCUAUAGUUCUGCAGAAACCAAUGCUGACAUUCUCCAGAACGGCUGCUGAGAGCAUUGCCUCAGGCUUGGCUUGGUUUUGUCUGAGGUUCGCUGGGGCUCUCUCCCACUUCCUGAAAAAUCCCACAUAUAGAAGCUAGAUACCUGCAGACAAUUUUCAGCACAAAAAAGCUGACAGAUGAGUCAAGGUUGUGGUAAAGGGAAUGAUGUCUCCUCGUUGUGGUAAAGGUAAUGAUGCCUCCUCUCUGUGGACAGGGCUAAAUGAGGGUGCUGGCAGCAAGGGACGUGUCCAGCUACCUGCCUUCUCCUGCUUGCUGAGAACAGUCUCCAGAAGAAUCGUUUUGCAUGCAUCCAGAUUGCUUCUGAGCUCCUCUGCAGUGGAUGACCAUGUAGCAGAACCAAAUGUGUUCCUCUCCAAUGGGGAACAAGGGACCCCUUCUCCUCCUGUCACCUAUGCAGAUACUGUGCCUUUCAUUUCUUCCACGCUGGCAGCAUGUCAUGCCGAACAGACAGCCCGGGAGACCUGUGUUAUCUCUCACAGCGCUACAGCACGAGGAGGGGCAGCUCCAUCUUCCACUACAGCGACCUGUCACCCUGCCUCAGCCUCGGAUCAGCGGGGUCGCUUCCAGGAACAAGGGGAGAAGUCAGCCCUUAUGACCCAGCCCUUUGAUAAGCCUCCUAACCGGGGUGCCAAUUAGAGCCGAGUGGGAUGGGGGAUUUUACAAGGCUGGUGAGCGCUGGUGGCCACUGACCCUGCAGGGCUGCAUCCCUAAUGCAGGGUGCUUCCCCUAAUGCAGGGGGUAGGGGCUGGGAAAACUACAGAAGGCACGGGGAGGGCUCCAACUGCAAGCAUUUUUCCUCCAGGCUGGUACCAAGUUCCCGCUCUCAUUGUAUCUGAGAUGUUCUGUUUUGGAUAAAAAUCAGGCUCACACCCCUCUGCUGUCACAAAGGGUCCCGUGGAAUAUUUAUGGACUAUUUUGGGAAAGAAUAAGAUGGUAGCUCUUACAUCUUUGCCACAUGUCCUUCUCAUCUCCCUAAAUCUCCUCUGCUGUUUUAUUUGGAUAACACAGCUUUCAAAACGUGCCUUCCAUUAUGAAGUGCUGCUGUCCAGCUGUUCAGUGUCAGGCUUUGCUUCAGGCUUUCUUUCUCUGUGGGCAUGUGUCUGCCUUUCUUUGCACAGCCGACUCGCUGAUGUGCAGCGUAUGCUCAGGGGCAGCUCCCUGUCAUGAGCAAGCACUGAACUAAUAGAUGAUCUCAGGAAUGAUCAGAUCAAUUCAUUAACCUUCUGAAUAAAGUUGUCUAUUGAUACA